AACGCUCUUGGAUUGAAAGGUCACGGUGAUGGCUCUGUUCCAACAUUGUGGUUUAUUUUCUUAGUCUUUCGAUGAGCCCAAAGUCAGGGUUUGGCUGGGACUCGGGAGAGUCGAUGGAAAGCUAUCGGGGAUGUGGUAAGGAAAACAACUGUCUGCCAUCCGUGUCUCAUGCAACACCCAAGGAGCUCUGGAUUUGGAAGGGGGAAUCCCACUGAAGCUGGCAUUUCCUUGAACUGUGUUUGACUUCAAUCUCCUGGCUCUGGGGUUGUGUAGAAGACUCUGUUCCUAUGAGCAGAGGCAAGACUUUCAUAUUGGACUGAAACAUAAGGAUGGAGACAGAGAUUGACUGGAAGAAUAAGAUUUGGGGACAAAAAUGCCAGGCCUGUCCUUGUCCUGUUAGUUGCUAAAACCAUAUUUGGAGUCAAUGAAGUGAAAUUCCUCAGGACAGUGUUGGGUACCACUAGUCAGCAUGUUUAAGCCUGGCAAGCUGCUCUUUCCAGGCGUGAUGGACUUGGUGAUCACUUCUGUGAGAGUUUUGGGAGCACAGCCUUAUAGGACUGGAGACCCCACCAGGCUGCUCAGCACCUUCUCACACUGAACCACCCCAGAACUCACGGUGCUGAGCCAGGAGAACCUGCUCUCUCACUGACAUUGGAGAAACCUGCCCACACCAGGACAUUUCUAAUCCUACUCAGCUAUAAUUCAAGAGUACAUGGAAAAUGGUUUACCCACCAAGGGAGUUUUGUAUUACAGUGCUGCGCUGCUUGUGUUGGAAGCCAAAUUAAUAGUAAGGCUUGGCCAAGUUCUGCAUAGGUUGAAGCCUGACUUUUGGCUCAGUUUUGGUCUGACAAGAUUUUGGUGUCUCCAUCAGCAGCUUUGCUUUUGAGACUGUUGUUCCCAUUCCAGACACGGGUGGCUUGCAUUCAGACUGAGGAUACCUGUGGGUCUUGUGAGUCAUGUUGAGAGCAUUACGUGGGGUUGGGCUUAAAUAGAUGAAAAGUGAGAAUUUGUGAGACUUUGGCAGCCUAUGCAAUGAAUUUGUAAUGGCAGAGGUAGGAUGAAUUCCACCUCUGCUGUACAUGGCCGUUCCAGGGGACAUUCAGAAGUUCAGGCUAAUGUACAGCUCUGCCUGUUGUGUGGUGACUGAUGGAUUACACUGAAUCACCCCAGAGUUGUACUUGGAGUUUCUCAUUUCAAUGAUCUACUAACUCUCACAGAAAUCAACAGGAGGCUGAAACUAAUGUUUUUAAUGUGAGCUGGGUUGGCUAUUAAAAUCCAACAUUGUUUGAGAUCAUCUCUCUUACAUCCCUCUGAGAUCAAAGAAAUUUACUAUGGACAAGUGCAAUCACACAUAGAUAUGAUAUGAUUAAUUCUCCACGGUUCAGAUCAGAGUUCAGAUCUCUCUUGAGGAAAAGAUCUUUUUAUAUGCAAUAUUCAGAAGUAGUAGAAGAUAAUUUCCCAAGAGUAAUCCUUGGUUCCUAAAAUCACUUUCCUCUUGGUUCACCUUUCCUUAAAACCAUUUGAGAAAGUGAUUUGUUCUACACAGACUGGAAACUGCAGAAUGUUUUCUGAAAUGAAAUAGAAAUGCACUGAAACAUAGUAAUACCAAGCUGGCCCAGCAGGUAGGGACUUGGAGUUGGGAUACCAGAGUGUAAUUCUCUUUCCUCACACUGUGAUACUUCGGGCAAGUCACCAAAUAAAUACCUAAAAAUAUGAGUCUUAGUCCCACUGUACCCCAGAUUUCCAUCUGUAACUAGAGAAAACACCAUUUUCCUUGAUCACAGUGCUGUGGUGAAGCAGAGAUUUGUUGGAGUGUCGUGAUACUACAGUAAUGGGGACAACCAUCAAUAAAGCUCAUGUUAUAGGAAAGUCUACUAGCAAAGAAUUUAUAACUAGCAAAUUGAGGAAAAGAAAUACAGUAGUGAAAUGUUCAGAACUGCUAACUGUGUGUUUAAAGGUUUGGGAAAAUGCCUAGAGCUGUAAGUAGAUGCCAGAGAAAUUAAUUAUGAUAAUAAAACUUCUGGGAAGAGGUGGAAA